rnacentral:rRNA from 1 species
AUUGAACGCUGGCGGCAUGCCUUACACAUGCAAGUCGAACGGUAACAGGUCUUCGGAUGCUGACGAGUGGCGAACGGGUGAGUAAUACAUCGGAACGUGCCUAGUAGUGGGGGAUAACUACUCGAAAGAGUGGCUAAUACCGCAUGAGAUCUACGGAUGAAAGCAGGGGAUCGCAAGACCUUGUGCUACUAGAGCGGCCGAUGGCAGAUUAGGGAGUUGGUGGGAUAAAAGCUUACCAAGCCGACGAUCUGUAGCUGGUCUGAGAGGACGAUCAACCACCCUGGGACUGAGAAACGGCCCAGACUCCUACGGGAGGCAGCAGUGGGGAAUUUUGGACAAUGGGCGCAAGCCUGAUCCAGCAAUGCCGCGUGCAGGAUGAAGGCCUUCGGGUUGUAAACUGCUUUUGUACAGAACGAAAAGGUUUCUAUUAAUACUAGGAGCUCAUGACGGUACUGUAAGAAUAAGCACCGGCUAACUACGUGCCAGCCGCCGCCGUAACAC